GUCUUGACCCAUCAUGGUUGGUGGCACAAGAAAGUCCAAUUCUCUUCCAGUGCUUAAAGCACACACUUCUUGGCCAGUUCUCUAAAGAAAGCAAAACCUUCAGAAAUAGGCAUGUUCCAUGAACUUUCUUCUAAAAUUUGUUCAACCAAUCUUUGUUCCCCUGAAGGUUUACCACCCAGCAGCUCCUGAAAAAAAGGCUUAGUUAGUUGUCCAGAUUCUAUAAAGUGAGUUCUACAAAGCUAGCUGGGGAUGUUGUCAUAAUGUGAGAUUGUUUGCCAUAUCUUCAGGAUUGUCAGACAAUGUUUCUUUUGCUUUGCAUGCUGGUGAAGCACAGACUUGCCCUGACUCUCCGUCCUAGAUAGCCUUGCCCUGUCCAGGCUUGAAAUGGUCUAAGGGUGAAUAUCUUUCACGGCCUCUGAACAAGGAAACUGGGGAAUCACGAAGCUAUGACCUGGACAGGCCAUCCAGCUCCCUCCACCCUCCACACUGCCCACUGCAGAGAGAGACAGAAAUGGAGAGAAAGUCACCAGUUUUUCAGUCUACCAAUGAAGUAAGCUGUUUUCUUUUCAGACUUGGAGUGAGCAAAUUCUCUCCAGAUGUCAAAUCAGCCAUUUCUCCAAGAUGCCCUGGCUUCUUUUAGUGGGAAACAGUAUUUAGAAACGACAAUCUCAACAUGACCUUCCUGAGUUUAAUACAGACAAAAUCUCCUCCAGCUUCAAUUAUUUCACAUGACAAGAAACGAAAACCAAAACAAUUUAUUUGAACUUGGUCAAUUUAUUCUCUUACUUUCAAUGUUCUCAUUUAUAAAAUGCGGAUGAUAACGAUCCUUGCUUAUUGGUUUUGGUGAAGAUUAAACAAGCCAAUACAUGUAAGGCAUUGAGAAUAGCACCUGUGAGAGGGAGCACUUAAUAAAUGUUAAUGAUGAUGGUAACUGAACA
rnacentral:lncRNA from 13 species